rnacentral:rRNA from 1 species
GUCUACAGCCAUAGAACCCUGAACAUGCCCAGUCUUGUCUGAUCUUGGAAGCUGAGCAAGGUGAGUACUUUAGAGUUGAGGUUUUCUAUAUAUAAUUUUAUUUUCCUUCCAUCAGUGUGUUCUGGUUGUCGGCU